rnacentral:rRNA from 1 species
UGGGGAAUAUUGGACAAUGGGCGCAAGCCUGAUCCAGCCAUGCCGCGUGGAUGAUGAAGGCCCUAGGGUUGUAAAGUCCUUUCGGCGGGGAAGAUAAUGACGGUACCCGCAGAAGAAGCCCCGGCUAACUUCGUGCCAGCAGCCGCGGUAAUACGAAGGGGGCUAGCGUUGCUCGGAAUCACUGGGCGUAAAGCGCACGUAGGCGGCUUUCUAAGUCAGGGGUGAAAUCCUGGAGCUCAACUCCAGAACUGCCUUUGAUACUGGAGAGCUAGAGUCCGGAAGAGGUGAGUGGAACUGCGAGUGUAGAGGUGAAAUUCGUAGAUAUUCGCAAGAACACCAGUGGCGAAGGCGGCUCACUGGUCCGGUACUGACGCUGAGGUGCGAAAGCGUGGGGAGCAAACAGGAUUAGAUACCCCCGUAGUCC